UAAUUAUUUCCUCCUUCAUAUUGGAGCGUAGAAGUUUUAUCUAUUGAUUUCAAACGGUGCAGUGCAUAAUGAUUAUGUGGCUAGGUUCAAUAUUGAUUUUGCUCAAUGAUAAUAUUCAUUUUAUGAUAUGUAGAACACAUAAAUUAUUUCAGAAAUUAUCGAUUAUUUUUAAACGAUUAGAAAAUAUUUUCGAUGUAUAAUCAUUCGAUUCACUGAACAAUAUACACUAUUCUUUCUGGUACAAAUUUUAAACAGUUUAAAUGUACUUUAUUAGGAAAAUGUUUAAAAUUAUAUUAUUAAGAAAAUAUUUAAAAUCCACACAGUGCCGCACCGAAGAAAUUUCGGACCUUGGGAAAAUUUGCGAUAUGACCCCAAAAAGUGUGAGUAGAUUUAAAUAUCUGAACACUGAACACUCUUGGAAAAUGUUAUGGAUAGCGUUUUCGAUAUAUAAACAAUGAAUAAAAUAGGAAACCUACGUGAGUUGUAACACGAAAAUUAUUUUGUUGCGAAAUAUCCUCUCUGUGAUAGUUUCGUAGAAUUUUGCUUUCAUUUGUAAUUGGCGGAGAGACUUUCAAUGAGGAUGUAGUUUGCACACGAUACUCUUUACACUGGUCUUUAUAAGUAGAAACUUUGACCUUUGCGACGGGACACAUCUGGAAGUAAAAUGCCUUGCCCGUGUGGAAGUCAAUGCAAGUGUGGAGGGAACUGUAACUGCAGCGGCGGCAGUUGCAAGUGUUGUAGUGGAAAUAAAUGUCCAAAUGGAGGCAAUUGCGGAAAUAACCCAUGCACAUGCAAAAAGUGAUAAAAUAUUUUGAAUCAAAAACUAUAUAUAAAAUUAUAUAUAGUUAGUCGUUUCUGAACAUAUUUUUUAUAAUGUUUGAUAAAUUUUUAAUUUGUAGCUUUAGAAUUGAUGAACAUAAAUGACAGCAAAAAAGAAAUAAAUAUAUGUUAAAAAAUGUA